UAGCCCCGCCCCCAUCCCCCGCGUGGUGCGUUCCCGCCGAUCCCCACACCUCUGGCUCCCUCUCGUAGCCCCGCCCCCUUCCGCGCCGCGCGCCCCUUUAGCUCCGCCCCCUAUACUCCCGCCCCUCCGAGUGUCUAGUUCCCUGCGGCUCCGCGCGCUCUCAACCUCCUCAUAAUCCCGCCCCCUCCUUCUGGCGCUUUUCCACAGCUCACCUCUGGCGUAUCCUCUGCUUUGCUCGCAGCUGGGGCUCCAGACUCUCCUUCCUGGCCCCAGCACCCACUGCCCCAGCGUGUGCCCGCACUAGUGGACAGCAGUAGGCUAGCAGGGAGGAGAAGGCAGUAGGGAGGCAAAUCCACCGCAGUGGCUCCGCACAUCCCAUCUCCCUGCACCCGGCUUGAAAGCAUCACGCCCAUGCACCCAAUUCACUCGUGCAUUUUCUCGUUUAUAAACAUUUAUGAGCGCCUGCGCCUAACACAAGCUAAUGAGAGGGUAAGUAAGCCCCAGGCUGGACCCCUAGGCCCGCCAUCGUUCUCCCUCCUGUCCUGUUACUGAGGCCUGCCAAAGCUCUUCACUGGUGGUGACCAUCCAGGCUGUGCUCUCAAAGCUUCAACCUAAAUCUAGCUGCUAUAGAGAGAGAGAGAGACAGCAUGUGAACAGGGGAGGAGCAGAGAGAGAGAGA